GGCGGGUCUCCCCGCAUUGCACCGUAGUGAAACUGGUCAGGUCCGGAAGGAAGCAGCCACAGCUAUCACGUGCAAGUGCCGGGGGUUAGGCUCGCCACC
rnacentral:SRP_RNA from 1 species